rnacentral:rRNA from 1 species
CCUACGGGAGGCAGCAGUGGGGAAUAUUGGACAAUGGGCGAAAGCCUGAUCCAGCCAUGCCGCGUGUGUGAAGAAGGCCUUCGGGUUGUAAAGCACUUUCAGUGGGGAAGAAAGCCUUGGGGCUAAUACCCUCGAGGAAGGACAUCACCCACAGAAGAAGCACCGGCUAACUCCGUGCCAGCAGCCGCGGUAAUACGGAGGGUGCGAGCGUUAAUCGGAAUUACUGGGCGUAAAGCGCGCGUAGGCGGUCUGAUAAGCCGGUUGUGAAAGCCCCGGGCUCAACCUGGGAACGGCAUCCGGAACUGUCAGGCUAGAGUGCAGGAGAGGAAGGUAGAAUUCCAGGUGUAGCGGUGAAAUGCGUAGAGAUCGGGAGGAAUACCAGUGGCGAAGGCGGCCUUCUGGACUGACACUGACGCUGAGGUGCGAAAGCGUGGGUAGCAAACAGGAUUAGAUACCCUAGUAGUC